CUGGGGACCUCGUGGCGGUUGGACUGCGACCUCUUGAAUGUGUACUAACUCUGUUGGACAAGUGAUGACGGUGCUGUCUGAAAUGAAGACUUCAGUCCUUUUCCCACGAAUUCACAGGAGGUGCUGUUCGGGAAGAUGUCCUAAAGAAGGCAGUGGAAACAGCGGCACGACUUUAUGAGUGGGCACUCUAGAGCAUCAUCCUAGCUGUAUGUCGCACUGUCCUUAUGACGACUUAAUGUACUGUUGUUCUGCUGAUACGGAUCUCUCAUUCAAUAAAACCACAUUUCAUCAAA